rnacentral:lncRNA from 1 species
CUGAAGCUGUAGGCAGGAUAUCUUAUUCAAUAAAAAUGGGAAAAGCUUUAGGUGUGGUUUCCUUACCCUUUUUCUUUUUCUUUUUUUUUUUUUUUUUUUGCAUUUCAUUUUAUAUCUUGCCCCUGAGAACUUGUUAUAUCUCACAAAUCAUGGAUUUGCUCUAAAUACUGUGGUUUACUAGCUUUCCAAAGUUCUGGGCCUUUCUGUCCUAAUGAUGAUACAGUAAUACUGGGUAAAAGUGAUUAAGCAUUUUUAUUUUUAUUUCUACUUCUUUAAUUAAUUUACUGGGGAUUUAGAAGCUUUGGAAAAAUAUUUUUUUUCCUGUGGCCUAUUAGAUAUUAUGGUGAAUUGGGAGCCUUACAGAAAACAUGAGAAAUUACACUCAUCUCUGUUUUCACAAGUUUAUUUGGUUGGCUUCAAGUCCUCUGUACUUUCAAAGAAAAACAGACAUAGAAAUGAAUAAGGCACUUUAAAGUUUGGAAAAAAUAUUUUGCAAAAUAGGGUGCAUGAUAGGUCUGGCACUGUCUGCCAAGUGUAGAUUUGUGCUAUGAGUACCGAAUGAAACAGUGCUGCUAAACUCAGCGCUUGUAUUCCCUUAGGAGGUGACAAAAAAGGAUGAGGGGCUUUGAAGACCUCCAGAAGCAGGUCUUUUCUGGCAAGUUGAGGCAUCUAAAUGACCUCCUCCCUGGGGGCCUGGAGAUGAAUCUGGGGUUUCCUAUUGAUCAUACAUGACACAAGACAGAUUAUGAAGUUUAGGUUCCCCCUUGCCCGAGCACCGCAUCCCUCUCACUUCUUCUGUGAGGAGGGGAGGACAAGGGCAGGGACUUUUGGCUUUCACCAGGCAUUUUCUUGCUCUCUGGUUCUACUUUGAUAUCAACCCCAGCUGGCGAGGGCUUAUGUUGUUGGUAGCUUUGCUACCGUGGGGAUGGAUCGAAGUUUGGGCAUGAAAUGAGGAGCUGGGAUACAGAUGAGAAUAAAAAUUGCCUUCUAUUAUUACACCUGUCUUUGCCGCCUUGCUCAGUAGGAUUGGCCAUGUCGGGGUCUCCGUUCCCCCGGGCGGAACGGCUUGAGCAAACUCUACCACUGCUCUGCGGGCUAUCCCUCAGCAGCGGCUCGGGCAGCUGCCCAGCCCCUGAAAGCCGCGGUCACCAGCCGUAUGCGGCUCCUGCCACACGCAGAGCUGUGAAUGAGGGUGCCGGGACGGCCCCUUCAGCUCCCCGGCUUCCCCCGGGCGGCUCUGGCCCGGCCCCGGCCCCGGCGAGCCCUGUGUGGGGCACGGGCCCUUCCUGGCGCCGCCCGGAGCCGCCCCCGCUCCGUGCCCGGCCCCGCGCUGCGGGCCCUUCGUUUGAAAAUAAAGCCGUCAUCAAAACCAUUCGGACACUGCAUGAAACUCGCCUGUUCACACCCUGCAGUAUCUGAACAAGAACCUGGCCCAGAUCGUAUGUUCUGCAUCUCCAUCUGUGCUGGACAGAAAUCCAGAGCUGAGGUCACAUUAAACCACAAUCCAAUUUUGUAGACAGUAUCCUGAGAAAAAGCAGAAAUUCUGAGAAAAACUCAUCCAUCCAUAACAAGGAAGUUCUUCUCAUCAGUGAACACAAAACCAGAGGAAAAGACCAACAAAGCAUGAGUUUACUUUGACCACUAAUUUGUGGAUGGCUAAUUGGAGAUGACUGUGUUACAGCAAGCAACAAAUGCUUAGUGUUUAUAUCAGGUAAUCCAGUGAAAUGGUCAAAGACAAGCCAAAUCAUUUACAGGAGGCUUUCAGUGUGGCAAAGGGUUUCAGAGUGCCUUUGCCAGCACACAGCUACGCUCUGCUGGAGAUGUUGCAUUUAACUGAUGCUUUGUGACUGAUCCUGGGCUCUGGAUGCAGGAGUAGAACCAUGUCUGCUCGUGUACAAGGAUUGGGUUUCUGGCUGUUGCUAUCCCUCAGAUAGUUAGGAACACGGAGUUGCAAACCCCUUUUGGGAAUGCCAAACACAGUCUCUAGAAAAUGAAUGCAUGAAAUAUCUCCUUUCAUAUAGGCACCUUUAAAAUAUGAUAUAGAGCUAUCACAUUUUAAAGUCACAAUAAAUUAAAAUUGGGAAAGGUGGGAAACCUUUUG